rnacentral:rRNA from 1 species
AUUGAACGCUGGCGGCAUGCCUUACACAUGCAAGUCGAACGGCAGCACGGGAGCUUGCUCCUGGUGGCGAGUGGCGAGCGGGUGAGUAAUACAUCGGAACGUACCCAGUAGUGGGGGAUAACGCACCGAAAGGUGCGCUAAUACCGCAUACGACCUACGGGUGAAAGCGGGGGACCGUAAGGCCUCGCGCUAUUGGAGCGGCCGAUGUCUGAUUAGCCAGUUGGUGAGGUAAAGGCUCACCAAGGCUUCGAUCAGUAGCUGGUCUGAGGGGACGAUCAGCCACCAUGGGACUGAGACACGGCCCAGACUCCUACGGGAGGCAGCAGUGGGGAAUUUUGGACAAUGGGCGAAAGCCUGAUCCAGCAAUGCCGCGUGUGCGAAGAAGGCCUUCGGGUUGUAAGGCUCUUUUGUCAGGGAAGAAACAGCAGCUCUAACACAGUCUGCGAAUGACGGUACCUGAAGAAUAAGCACCGGCUAACUACGUGCCAGCCGCCGCCGUAA